GCCUAGGUGGCUCAGUUGGUUGAGUGUCUGACUUUGGCUCAGAUCACAGUCUCUCAGUUUGUGGGUUCAAGCCCUGCAUUGGGCU
rnacentral:tRNA from 1 species